GCUUCUUAACGUACAGUAUAUUUGAAAAUAUGGCUGUAUAUAUAACAAUCUCAUUCUCGACAUGUUUACACAUUUAAUUAAUCUUGAUAUUAAAGUGGAAGUCAAGUCCGUUCUGCGCGUCGGUUCUGCUCAUAACAAUGUGAGGAUCCUCUAAUGCAAACAUUGCCCAAAUUUCAAAUGUUUCGAAUUUUUCUGAACAUAAACUCUAUAUCAUAUUCAUUUAGAAGCAUAGCGAACCAAAAUGGUGUUAGAUAUUCAGACAUUACAUCAUAUUAAAAAAAAAAUACAGCAGUUUAUAAUGUAAACAAACCGUUUGUUUACAUACAGACUUGACUUCCACUUUAAUAUUUAACUCAAGCAUUCCCGAGUAUUUUCUAGUGAGCUCACAAAUCAAUAUUCAAGAAAUCAACACUCGCUAACAGUAGAAGUUCCUCUACUCGCUAUUCGAAAACCAGAAAAUGCAUGAACAACAAGGGUGCAAGACAGCACCAGGUGAGGUGUGUACCCCAGUGAGCAACAUGAACCCCCACGGGAGAUCCCCUGGCAUUCGCAACAAAUACUUUUUUAUUUUGAAAACCAACUACAGGCCGACUGAACUACGUUUUCUAAUUUCAUAAUUCCUACAUAAUUCUUCUUACAACCAUCACAUUCAUAAGGUAAAAUUUUCUCCAGUGUGUGUUUUCUUAUGAACACAUAAAUUGCUUGACUGCGAAAAUCUUUUGUUGCAAACAUCACAUUCAUAAGGUCUCUCUCCAGUGUGUGUUCUCUUAUGACCUGUUAAGUGACUUGAGUGUGAAAAUCUUUUGUGGCAAACAUCACAUUCAUAAGGUUUUUCUCCAGUGUGUGUUCUCUUAUGACCUGUUAAGUGACUUGAGUGUGAAAAUCUUUUGUUGCAAACAUCACAUUCAUAAGGUUUCUCUCCGGUGUGUGUUCUCUUAUGAACCGCUAAGUGACUUGAGCGUGAAAAUCGUUUGUUGCAAACAUCACAUUCAUAAGGUUUGUCUCCAAUGUGUGUGAGAUUAUGUCUAGUUAGGGUGCUUGUGUCAAAAAAUCUUUUGCUGCAAACAUCACAUUCAUAAGGUUUCUCUCCAGUGUGUGUUCUCUUAUGAACCUCUAAGUGACUUGAGUGUGAAAAUCUUUUGUUGCAAACAUCACAUUCAUAAGGUUUGUCUCCAGUGUGUGUUCUCUUAUGAACCGCUAGGUGACUUGAGUGCAAAAAUCGUUUGUUGCAAACAUCACAUUCAUAAGGUUUCUCUCCAGUAUGUGUU